rnacentral:rRNA from 1 species
GACGAACGCUGGCGGUGUGCUUAACACAUGCAAGUCGAACGGUAAGGCCCUUUCGGGGGUACACGAGUGGCGCACGGGUGAGUAACACGUGAGUAACCUGCCCUCAUCUCUGGGAUAACAGUCGGAAACGGUUGCUAAUACUGGAUAUGAGCUUGCAAGGCAUCUUGUGGGUUGGAAAGAUUUUUUUGGUUGGGGAUGGACUCGCGGCCUAUCAGCUUGUUGGUGAGGUAGUGGCUCACCAAGGCUUCGACGGGUAGCCGGCCUGAGAGGGCGACCGGCCACAUUGGGACUGAGAUACGGCCCAAACUCCUACGGGAGGCAGCAGUGGGGAAUAUUGCACAAUGGACGGAAGUCUGAUGCAGCAACGCCGCGGGCGGGAUGACGGCCUUCGGGUUGUAAACCGCUUUCAAUUGUGACGAAGCUUUUUGUGACGGUAGCAGUAGAAGAAGCACCGGCUAACUACGUG